GCUCAGGUGAUCCUCAGUGGUCUGAGGUACAGGCUUCAAACCUUCAGCUCUGUGACAAUGGAGUGGUUCAAUUCCACCUCCUGGGU
rnacentral:tRNA from 1 species